AUUGAACGCUGGCGGCAGGCCUAACACAUGCAAGUCGAGCGGAGCGGCGGACGGGUGAGUAAUGCCUAGGAAUCUGCCUGGUAGUGGGGGAUCACGUACGGAAACGGGCGCUAAUACCGCAUACUAUCAGAUGAGCCUAGGUCGGAUUAGCUAGUUGGUGGGGUAAAGGCCUACCAAGGCGACGAUCCGUAACUGGUCUGAGAGGAUGAUCAGUCAAAGUGGAACUUAUACCCGGUUCAGAAUCCUACGGGUGGCAGGAGUGGGGAAUAUUGGACAAUGGGCGAAAGCCUGAUCCAAGCAUGCCGCGUGUGUGAAGAAGGUCUUCGGAUUGGAAAGCAAUUUAAGUUGGGAGGCGUUACCAACAGAAUAAGCACCGGCUAACUUCGUGCCAGCAGCCGCGGUAAUUC
rnacentral:rRNA from 1 species